CCGAAUGGGGAAACCCAGUGUGACUCGUCACACUAUCAUUAACUGAAUCCAUAGGUUAAUGAGGCGAACCGGGGGAACUGAAACAUCUAAGUACCCCGAGGAAAAGAAAUCAACCGAGAUUCCCCCAGUAGCGGCGAGCGAACGGGGAGGAGCCCAGAGCCUGAAUCAGCAUGUGUGUUAGUGGAAGCGUCUGGAAAGGCGCGCGAUACAGGGUGACAGCCCCGUACACAAAAGCGCAUGUGCUGUGAGCUCGAUGAGUAGGGCGGGACACGUGGUAUCCUGUCUGAAUAUGGGGGGACCAUCCUCCAAGGCUAAAUACUCCUGACUGACCGAUAGUGAACCAGUACCGUGAGGGAAAGGCGAAAAGAACCCCGGCGAGGGGAGUGAAAAAGAACCUGAAACCGUGUACGUACAAGCAGUGGGAGCCCCACCACUAAGCCAGUGGUGAACUCCACAUACGCAUCCUUUGCUGAGGAUACGGUUAACGGAGCGAAAGCGACGUUCAACCUCAAAAGAAGCAGAGGGGGCUUAGUGGUGGGGUGACUGCGUACCUUUUGUAUAAUGGGUCAGCGACUUAUAUUCUGUAGCAAGGUUAACCGAAUAGGGGAGCCGGAGGGAAACCGAGUCUUAA
rnacentral:rRNA from 1 species